rnacentral:rRNA from 1 species
UACGUAAGUGGCGAGCGUUAUCCGGAAUUACUGGGCGUAAAGCGUGCGUAGGCGGUUUAGUGUGUGGGAUUUGAAAGCCCGGGGCUCAACUCCGGAUCCGGAUCCCAAACUGCUAGACUUGAGCGUAUCAGAGGACAGUGGAAUUCCCGGUGUAGCGGUAAUAUGCGUAGAUAUCGGGAGGAACACCAGUGGCGAAGGCGACUGUCUGGGGUAUUGCUGACGCUGAGGCACGAAAGCCAGGGGAGCGAACGGGAUUAGAUACCCCCGUAGUCC